CUGAGAAGUAAAGUUUACCCAGACCAUGUUUAAUCCUAUAAACACAAAUUUCUGUAAAUUCAAUAUUUAUUUGAGGCAGAUACGACAAAGAUCAGAUAACAAUGUGUAUCAUAAGUCAAUACGUGAUAAGUCAUGAGCUCUGCCAUGAGAUCAUAAUCACUGUUCACCUCAAUCAUAUAAACUCCAUGUGUCUGGAGGACGAAAGCACAGAGAGAGGGAACAGCAGCCUCUCACAUACAGCCUGGCACCCAUGGGUACCCUAACCAUGCUGCAAGUGUGGGUGCUGAGUGUGGCUGCAUUACUAAAUGGACUUUCAGCACAACAAACAGAUUAUGGCUUUUUUCUGGAUGCGACUACAACAGAGAUGAUAACACCAACAAACAGUGUCUAUUCUACCAACAACACGAAUCAUAGCUGAUAGCUAUGAGAGUCUUUACGGAAUCAACGUGGAUCACAACAUGCAGGUGUGCAGCACAUGGGGAAACUUCCACUUCAGUACAUUCGAUGGACAAUUCUUCCAACUGCCCUACACCUGCAACUACGUACUGACCACCCUGUGUGACAGCACCAAGACUGACUUUAACAUCCAAAUGAGGAGGCGGUAUAUCAAAAAUCUCCCCACCAUCAGCUCCUUCACCAUAAAGAUAGACGGGGUUGUAGUCAAGCUUCUUGAUGGGAACAUUACUAUGAAUGACCAGGCGUGAGUGUCUUUCACUAUAUUUAACACUCAUUUUUCCCUGAAAAAAACUUUUCAUCAUUUUAUUUAGAAAUGAACUCAUCUUAAGUUAUUUUUUGCAAUAAAACA